GACGAACCGUGCGAACGUUAUUCGGAAUCACUGGGCUUAAAGCGCGUGUAGGUGGGGCGGCACGUCGGCCGUUGAAAGCCCCCGGCUUAACCGGGGAAGCGGCGCCGAUACGACCGCCCUCGAGGGACGUAGGGGGAGCUGGAACUUCCGGUGGAGCGGUGAAAUGCGUUGAGAUCGGAAGGAACGCCCGUGGCGAAAGCGAGCUCCUGGACGUUUUCUGACACUGAGACGCGAAAGCCAGGGAGCGAACGGG
rnacentral:rRNA from 1 species